CACGUAAACUUUGCUUAAUAGUUUGCAAUACAAUAUGAUACCAUAUUUAUGCAUUCAUUAUAUUUAUGACUGAGUUCAAACAUUGGGCGCUUUCCAUUAACACGGUCAGAACGGUCAAAUUGUUGAAUGGAACACAAAACAUUUGGGCUUCCGACCUAUCUGACCGGAAAAUUUAGAUAAAAUUAGAAUGAGGUCCAUUUUCGCUAGAUAUUUGAGAAACACAGACCAGAUCUUUCCAUUGAUACAGAGAAAAGAAUUCGGGUCUGACC